AGAGUUUGAUCCUGGCUCAGGGUGAACGCUGGCGGCGCGCUUAAUGCAUGCAAGUCGAGCGUGAUCGUGGCUUCGGCCACAAUGAUAAAGCGGCAGACGGCUGAGUAACGCGUGAGUAAUCUGCCCUCCGGUGGGGUAUAACCUCGGGAAACUGAGGAUAAUCCCGCAUACGACCUGCAUCCCUUGGGGUGCAGAUGAAAGGCUUCGGUCGCCGGAGGAGGAGCUCGCGUCCUAUCAGGUUGUUGGUGGGGUAAUGGCCUACCAAGCCGAUGACGGGUAGCUGGUCUGAGAGGAUGACCAGCCAGAGGGGGACUGAGAACGGCCCCCACUCCUACGGGAGGCAGCAGCAGGGAAUCUUGGGCAAUGGGCGAAAGCCUGACCCAGCGACGUCGCGUGGGGGACGAAGGCCUUCGGGUUGUAAACCCCUUUUCCGAGGGAAGAGAAAGGACGGUACCUCGGGAAUAAGCCCCGGCUAACUACGUGCCAGCAGCCGCGGUAAUACGUAGGGGGCAAGCGUUACCCGGAAUCACUGGGCGUAAAGUGCGCGUAGGCGGUUGGAUAAGUCUCUUGUGAAAGCUCCCGGCUCAACUGGGAGAGGUCAAGGGAUACUAUUUGACUAGAGGACAGCAGAGGUAAGCAGAAUUCCCGGUGUAGCGGUGGAAUGCGUAGAUAUCGGGAGGAACACCAGUGGCGAAAGCGGCUUACUGGGCUGUAUCUGACGCUGAGGCGCGAGAGCGUGGGGAGCAAACUGGAUUAGAUACCCAGGUAGUCCACGCCCUAAACGAUGGAUACUAGGUAUGGGGGGUAUUGACCCCCUCCGUGCCGUAGCUAACGCGUUAAGUAUCCCGCCUGGGGACUACGGCCGCAAGGCUAAAACUCAAAGGAAUUGACGGGGGCCCGCACAAGCGGUGGAGCGUGUGGUUUAAUUCGAUGCUAAGCGAAGAACCUUACCUGGGCUUGACAUGUUGGUAGUAGGAACCCGAAAGGGUGACGACCUCGGGGUAACUCGGGGAGCCUUCACAGGUGCUGCAUGGCUGUCGUCAGCUCGUG
rnacentral:rRNA from 1 species